rnacentral:ncRNA from 1 species
CCUCUGGAAAGCCCAGCGCCUGCGAAGGAACUGGCACCGACGGAGUAAGGAAGGCCCCGCUUUCCGAAUCUCUCAGGUCUCGGGACAGAGG